CCUUUACAAUGCACGAAAGCGUGAUAAGGGAAUCCGAAGUGCUCAUGUUUUACAUGGGCUUUUUUCAAUGGUAAAUACAUUGAAGAAUAAGUGGUGGGUAAGACUGGUGCCAGCCGCCGCGGUAACACCAGCGCCACGAGUGGGAACCAUUUUUAUUGGCCUAAAGCGUUCGUAGCCGGUUUAGUAAAUCUUCUGUGAAAUCGUUGUUCUCAAUGCAACGGCGUGCAGAGGACACUGCUAGACUAGGAACCGGGAGGGGUCAGGAGUAUGCCAUGGGGAGCGGUAAAAUGCUAUAAUCCUUGGUAGACUACCUUUGGCGAAGGCGCCUGACUAGAACGGAUUCGACGGUGAGGAACGAAGCUAGGGGAGCGAUCCGGAUUAGAUACCCCUGUAGU
rnacentral:rRNA from 1 species